rnacentral:lncRNA from 1 species
UGUAUUAUUAAUGUGUUGGCAAAUUUAUGCAUAAUAUCAAAAUAUGUACACAUAUCAAUCACAACCUUCCACGCAUAUAUGUCAACACAUUAAUAAUACAUAAAGUUAAUUUUAUAAAGUAUCUAUAGAAAUAUUGUCUUCNAUUAACUUUAUGUAUUAUUAAUGUGUUGGCAAAUUUAUGCAUAAUAUCAAAAUAUGUACACAUAUCAAUCACAACCUUCCACGCAUAUAUGUCAACAUAACAAUAACAGAACAUUGGAGACUCAUAAUGUGAGACCCUAGAUAGUACUAUAUAUAAGAUAUAAUAUGACUAAAAUUCUUAACUCGAAUAUAAAAUUUGGGUAAUGGCUAGGCUGAAGAGAUUAAAAAAAUUAAGCGUAUUAGGAUUAGAAUAGUCUUAAAAUGGAUGACCUCUUGGGAAGUGGGGCGUCACAAUUGAUAUCAAAGCCAAUUAUCAGUCGGAAGCAUGAGAAGAGUCUCGGUUUAGCCAGGUUAUACACUGAGGAGAGCGAGAGUCUAAUCCUGAUGACUGUUUUGGGUAGAGCGCAACUCCCCCGUAAGGUCGGUUAAAGCUAACGAGACGAGUCUCACAUCGCUUGAUAUUUGUGAGUCUAAGCCUAAUGAAAACAUCAGCACUUAAAGUUAGGGAGAAUGUGAGACCCCAGAUAAUUCUAUACAUAAGAUAUAAUAUAUUUAGAAUUCUUAACCUGAUUAUAGUAUUUUGGGCGAUAGCUAAACCGAGAGAUUAAGAAAAUUAAGUAUAUUAGGGUUAGAGUAAUCUUAAGAUAGGUGA